rnacentral:rRNA from 1 species
CCUACGGGAGGCAGCAGUGAGGAAUAUUGGUCAAUGGACGCAAGUCUGAACCAGCCAUGCCGCGUGCAGGAAGACGGCCCUAUGAGUUGUAAACUGCUUUUGUACGAGGGUAAACUCAGAUACGCGUAUCUGUCUGAACGUAUCGUACGAAUAAGGAUCGGCUAACUCCGUGCCAGCAGCCGCGGUAAUACGGAGGAUUCCAGCGUUAUCCGGAUUUAUUGGGUUUAAAGGGUGCGUAGGCGGUCGGAGAAGUUAGGGGUGAAAUCCCGGGGCUCAACUUCGGAACUGCCUCUGAUACUGUCAGGCUAGAGAGUAGUUGAGGUAGGCGGAAUGUAUGGUGUAGCGGUGAAAUGCUUAGAGAUCAUACAGAACACCGAUUGCGAAGGCAGCUUACCAGGCUAUUACUGACGUUGAGGCACGAAAGCGUGGGUAGCAAACAGGAUUAGAUACCCUUGUAGUC